rnacentral:lncRNA from 1 species
UUUCAUACUGAGACCACUGAUGUUAUUAGCAUUUAGCCUCUCCUCCAGGUAAGGGUUUAAAGGAGUUUACUUGUCCCUCUAGUAAAAUCCUAAAUCAGUAAAAAUGAUGGAUUAUUGUCCAAUGACACAAUAGACAUUUACAUUUAUUUGCCCAAGACUCUGUCAUAUGGUGUCUUUAUACAAAACUAUUGUGUUUCUUGUAAUUGGUUUAGCACAUGACAAUAAAUAAAUAAAUAAGAACAAUGAACAUCUCUUAUCUCUCCAUCACUCUCUAUGCUUAGUCAAUAAUAUAAAACCUUUUCCUGAUUGAAUUUAAUCCCCCUUUUGUUUUUAGAUGAAAUUCCUGUAAGUGCAGAUGAGGCUGAAGAGGAGAGUCACAGUGAGUCAGGGGACUCUGCUGAGAAACAAUCUGAUAAAGAUGAGUCUCAGUCUACAAAUUAUGAAAACAUAGUUGGAGAAAAUGUGGUUAUAGAUGAUGACACAAUGGACAUAACUGAUGGAGAUACCUUUGAUUUUGAAGAGGCAGCAAAGAGGCCUGCAAAGCAACCUGGACCAAAACGCAGAGUAAAAAAAAGAGCAUGGUCAAAGACUGAAGAAGCAGCUGUAAUGCGGCAUUUUUAAAAAACACAUCAAGAAAGGAAAACUGGCCACAAAAAAUGAAGUAACUCAGUGUAAACAAGCAGAAAUUGCCUUAAGUCAGAGAACACUGCAGAAUAUAAGAGACUUUGUGAGAAAUCGUGGACUAGCAUGUAAAAGACAACUAAAUGUAAAAGAUUGAUAAGCAUUGUCUGAAAUGGAAGCUGGAAGUAUUUUUUUAAAGUUUUGGUUCAAUUGGAUAGUGUUGAAGUUUGCAGUUCUUUUUUUUAUUUUUAUUUUUUUUACUUGCUAUUCAAGGCUCUGUGUAUCAGGUGAUCCCUGUAGGGUGGUAAAUUCCUAGAACCCAGACAUAGCCAAAGUACAACCCAAAGUUCACGUAGGGUUUUCAGAGAUGGAUUCCAUACACCUUUGCUCUGACGGUGAUGAUCUUUCCAUCAAGACCCAAAUAUUUCGACGCCUAACACCCUGUUGCUAAUUAGACAGUUAUAACAAAAGGCUGCUGUUUUCGCUGUGUAGACCAGUCCAUCGCACUCAGCUCUCAUACAUGGCUUAGUGGCUCACUGCACAGAGAAUGGGUGUAUGUUUUAAAGAAAUAGUUCAGGAUUUUUGACAGAGGGCCUAAUUUCCAACUUAUCCAGAGUGUUGGUGAUGUCUGGAGAUGUUUUUUUUUUUUUUUUUUUUGUGUGUGUGCAAUUUUUAUAUUUUAAGAGCUUAAUGAUGCUCUGCUAAUGCUAGCCUAGCGCAUGUUUACCGU